UACAGAGGUCUCAAGCGUUGUUCGGAUUCAUUGGGCGUAAAGGGUGCGUAGGCGGCGCGGUAAGUCGGGUGUGAAAUCUCGGGGCUUAACUCCGAAACUGCAUUCGAUACUGCCGUGCUUGAGGACUGGAGAGGAGACUGGAAUUUACGGUGUAGCGGUGAAAUGCGUAGAUAUCGUAAGGAAGACCAGUGGCGAAGGCGGGUCUCUGGACAGUUCCUGACACUGAGGCACGAAGGCCAGGGGAGCAAACAGG
rnacentral:rRNA from 1 species